AUCUCACCAGGUCAUAAUGGUAGGAAAGCAUCAUGGUCGUGAUUUUUCUUUUUCUCUCUCUAAGGAAUUAUCAGGGACCGAUUCCCCUCACUUCAUUCUGGAUGGUAUCAGCAAUUUUGAUAUUCAACAAGGACUAGCAGACAUGGACAAUAAAAACCCAUCCCAAAAUUCAUCUGGGCAUACAGUCAGAAAGGAAAUAAAGGAUCAUGAAUCGUGUGUGUUGAGAGAAGCAGUGUGCUGUAACAGAUGGAGUAGUCCACUAGGAAGAGCACUGGAUUUGUAG
rnacentral:lncRNA from 1 species